UACGAAGGGGGCUAGCGUUGCUCGGAAUUACUGGGCGUAAAGGGCGCGUAGGCGGAUAUUUAAGUCAGGGGUGAAAUCCCAGAGCUCAACUCUGGAACUGCCUUUGAUACUGGGUAUCUUGAGUAUGGAAGAGGUAAGUGGAAUUGCGAGUGUAGAGGUGAAAUUCGUAGAUAUUCGCAGGAACACCAGUGGCGAAGGCGGCUUACUGGUCCAUAACUGA
rnacentral:rRNA from 1 species